rnacentral:rRNA from 1 species
GAAAGUCUGACGGAGCACACCGCGUGAUUGAUGACGGCCUUCGGGUUGUAAAGAUCUUUUCUGGGGGAAGAACUCUGACGGUACCCUAGGAAUAAGCACCGGCUAAAUUCGUGCCAGCAGCCGCGGUAAUACGAAUGGUGCAAGCGUUACCCGGAAUUAUUGGGCGUAAAGCGUCCGUAGGCGGCGCAUCAAGUCGAGUAUUAAAGGCCCUAGCCCAACUGGGGUUUGGUGCUCGAAACUGUUGUGCUAGAGACUUGGAGAGGUGAGUGGAAUUCGGUGU